UUAGACAAAGAAAAACAAAAGAAAAGAAAAAAGAAAGAAAAUUCGUAGAAAAAGAAAGAAAAAAAGAAAAAAAGUGUGAAAAGUAUGAAAAGGAGUUGAAAGAGCAUAAAAUGAGCUCUAAGUUGUUGGUUGUUGAAGCAAGGGUCCAAAAAGUUGAAUUAGACCCUAAGUGUUGCAUGAAUCUUCCCCUUGAGUUUAAACAUUGAUUUUCGCAUGCAAAAGUGAAUUCUAAGUGUCAAUUUCAUUACUUUGCUUAUUAUUCUUUAAGAAUGUUUGUUUAUCCUUACCUUUCUUUGUUAGCCAAUACCUUAGCCCCGUUACACAACCCUUUGCUUCUAUCUUGAUUGUUAUGUGUUUCAAUAUGUGGAGUUUGGAGUUGGUAUGAGCAUAUGAUAUCCCUGGAUCUCGCAUCUAAGUAGUAGCAUUCCAUUCAUGAGAUCGUAUACAUACAUUCAUAAUUCCAGAAAAUGCUUUUAUUGUCAUAACAUAUGUGAGCAUUAGUUUUCAUAUUUACAUCAAUCUUCUCACAUAUAAUUAGUGUAGGGUGUGUAGUCAGAAAAUCUAAGUGAAAAAAGAGUGUAUAUCUAGUGAGGAAUUGAGGGAUUCUCUAAGGCAUGUUACUACAUUCAAAACAUUGUUGUAAUUGAUUAAAUGUGACCUAGUAAGUGAUGACUAUGAUUAAGUAUGUGCUUAAGUGUAAAGAUGGCUAAAAUCUAUGUGAGUAGUAAUCUUUGGCGUGUCGUGUACCAUUGGAAAUCCCUGAGGCGAUUGUUGGAAGGUUUAGGUUAUGUUUUGUUUCGUUGUUUUGCUCGAGGACUAGCAAAAGCUAAGUGUGGGGGGAAUUUGAUAGGAGCAUAUUUAUGCGCCUUAGUUAGUUAGUUCUUAUGCAUUUAUGUUGUGUUUUCUUAGUUAAGUUAGUCUUUUAAGCUAUUUUCAUGUGUUUUCAGGUUUUAGAGACAAAGUGAGCAAAAGGAUGCAAUUUGGAGCAUUUUGGAGCAAAACUGGGCUAAAAUGGAGUUCAUGCACAUGAAGCACAAGGGAUGGACGAAUUUGAGGAAUUGGUGAAGCUAGGAAGGCGUUUCAAAGUUGAAGAAUUGAAGAUGCAAGGUUUCCUACAUGAAGAAGAAGAAUUAAAUCCAAAGAAUCAACUCAAGAUAAGGAGUAUUAUCCAAAACCUCAUCCAUAACCUUAUCUUAGCUUAUCUUAUCCAAUCAAACCUUAUCCUAUCCUAUCUUAUCCUUAUCCUAAACUAUCCACAUUCCAGCCACUUAGGAGGGUUUCUAAUUAGAUUAGGAUGCUUAAAAUGGGAUUUCUAGAAGACCUUAUCUUAUCCUACCAAGAUGACACCUAAGAACCUUUCUAGAAGCCUAAAAAUCUGCCUUGCAUUAUCCUUCUAGAAACCACACUUUGUGCCGAAUUUUCUACCCUAUUUCCUUUAGGAUUUUGGUUUCUAGAAGCCUUAUCAUUUCACACUCUUUGUGCUGCACCUUAUCUCCCAAUCCCUUUGGGUUUUUUGACUUGUUUUCCUUAUAGGAUUGGAUGUUAUUAUCCUAUGCAAUUUAGGCCUUUAAAACCUUGUCCUUUGCUACCUAGGAGAUGGGAUUUUCAGCCUAUAUAUACAACCCAUUGCCGCACCCUUUCACUCACCACCCUCUACCAGAUUUUCACUACACCAUUCACCAAUCAUCCCUCAUUGUGCCGUGAGUUUGCAAGGAGAAGAAGGAAGACAACUUGGAGCCAUGCAUGCCAUUCAAGACGUUGGAUUGUCGGAGCGUUUCUAGGUGUUUUCUAUCUUUGUUUCAAUGUUUAAAUUUAUUUAUCUUUGUUUGUUUGCGAACAUGAGGAACUAAUUUCUUUAUAGUUAGAGGGGAAUUCAAAGCCAUGAUCAUAUGUUUUAUAUGACUUGAUUUCUUCCAAUUAUGAUUUCAUGAAUCGUGAAUGUGGUUUACUUAUCUAUUUGAUUGAUAACAUGUUUAUGUAUGUUGAUUGAGGGUCGACACUUAGUUUGCAUGCAUGAAUUUGAUGCUAGAGUAUAAGGGAAUUUCACCUAAUCGUUAUUAACUUAUAUUCAUAAGUAGUAAAAGUCGCUAGUCACGAUUGUGUUAUGUAAAUCCUAGGCAAGAGUAACAUGCGUAUCCCAUAGUUAUGAAUGCCUCGUCAAUGCUUAUGAUUUCCAUUGAACUUAAUGAUCUUUGAUAUGUGUCUCUAUCAUGCGUAUUCCAUAGUUAGGGUUCUUGAUAAGAAUAAUUUGGUUGUAAUGCGUAUCCCUUUCAAUUCAAUGAAUCUAGGGAAAUCUGAGAAUUAAUUGGUCAAUCUAGUUAAUUUGGGGCAUUGUCAUUCAAGGUUUAUUGAAAGAGUAAUUGGAAAUCGAGUCGUAUGCAUAUGUUUCAUGUGUGGAGAAGGAACCUUCUAACUAGCCUUUCACCAUCUUAGUUUUCAUCAAAACGUUUUUGUCAAAGUUUAUUUUCAAAGUUUCUGUUUUCAAAGUUAAAUUCGUCCAAAAUCAAUCCCCCUUUACUUAGUUGAGUCAUAGUAGUUAGAAAUCACUUUAGUUUUUGUUUUUAAGUGUCUUAGGUCAAGUUAAAACCAAUUUUCGUCCAAGUUUGUGUCUAGUGUUCAAAACUGCCCAGAUUGUGGUUUUAAGGCAGUUUUGAGUGUUUUUGGGGCUGUUUUGAGUCUUUUGGUUUUGUUUUGGUGUUUUAAAGUUUAUUUUUGCAUUCUUUGAGUCUAGUUUAGUGUUUUAAACUUGUUUUUACGUAUUUGAGUCAGUUUUCAAGUGAUUUUGCAAUCCCUCCUAAUCCCCGGUUUAGAACGAUCCCUACUUACAUACUUUGCUACAAUUGAUAAAAAGAGGGUUAAUUUGUGUGUCAACAUAAUUUUCACAUCAAAAGGCUGAGAAUGAGGGGAAUCAGGACUCCAAAUCAAGAAGGAAAAAGGACACUUCUCUUUCAGAUUCCAAGGAGGAAAAUGAUUGGUCCUUGCUGUAGGAAACAUAGCUUCUAGAAGGGGCGGAUGAGGCACCCUUUUAGGGAUAGGGCUUGGCUUCUCGAAACCUGAUUUGUAGGUAUCCUAAUGUCAUUUAGAUGCCCUCCUUGCAGCUGGAAAUUAGGUAGAUUAGGAUAAGGUUAGGAUAAGAUAGGAUAAGGUUUUGGAUAAUGUUGGAUAAGAUAAGGUUGGUUUGGAUAAUGUUCCUUCUCUUUAGCUGAUUCCUUAUCCUCCAAGUCUUGAUUUGAUUCUUCCAAAUUUGUAGCACAUUCCUAGCCUCUUUAACUUUAAAAACGUCUAUCCACCUUGCUCCAUGCAUGUGCUAUCCAUUCUUGGCCCAAAACUGCUUCAAAAUGCUCCAAAUCUCACUUUCUUGCCAACUUUGUCAUUUGAACCUGAAAACACACGAAAAUAGCUUAAAACACUCUAAUAAGUAGAAAUUGGCUAGGAAAAGAAAGAAAAAAAAGGAUUUUGAAACCCUAGCUCGCACUCGCGCCAAGCCAAACCGCUGCCUAAAUUGUAGAACGCACGUCAUUUCGAUGAUGUCUACCCCAAACCCCCUAUUUUCCGGCGCAUCAUGGGUGUCCACACCCAAUACGACUAUCCCCGUAGAUCCCCCAUCGUCUCUGACCCUCUGAAUUGCAUAUCUUGUCAUCUUGUCCUUCGAGACUCCACGACAACGGCCUCGAUCUACAACCAUCGCGGAGUGCCGUCAAUAGCUUUUCUCUGGCUACCUACAACUCUGUCAGUUUUUCCGACGGGUGGCACAUGACCAACCUCGCUGGAUUGUACAGACCGAUCCACAGUCAGCCCACUAAAAUUGGGCCUAAUUGAGUUUUUGGUUCUCCAGCUCAAUAAUAUAGGCUUUGAGAAGGCUCUAGCUUGUAGCCAACCCAAUGACACUACACAUCUCCUGCAGAGAGUUGGGUGCUUUCAAGCCUGCAUAUUUUUUUUCCGUUGGAGCCCCAGUCCAAUUUGUUUUAGGCCUAUUUAUUUUAGCCCAUAUGAAAUAACUGCCCCACUUAAUGAGAUGUUUUUCACUUUUUCUUUCUUACCCAGAUUUGGUCUUGGGUUUUGUCAAUCUUGUUAAGCCUAAAGUUAAGCCACUUAGUACUACGAUCUAGUAAUAUUCCUCUUCAUUUGUAAGUGACAGGUCUUAAGUUCGAUUCUCUCUAAAGGCUAAUUUGAACCACAUUAUUGCUAGCCCGUUGUGAGAGUUAGCUUAUCUCAUACCCUUUAGUGUAGACAAUAUUAUUCGUUCAAACAAAAACAAAAAACUUAAUACUAUAUGUACAAUUUUGUAUAUUAAUUAUAUGUUAUAUUCUUUUAAUAGAUGGAUCCCCGGCGCUUCCAAAUCGGGAUUUUUUUUAAUAGAUGUUAAUGGUUAAAUUAUGAAAAAACCGGAUAUCAAGGUAAGCAUUCAGUUUCAGUUUUUUUUUAUAGUUUUGGGUGAAAAAGUUAAAAACAAGAAGCUGCAAAACCUAACUUUGAAAACUGGCUUUUUUUCACAUCUAUUUUACAUAAAAAUUUACUAAACACUAUAAUACUGCUUUUUUUUUUUCAAAAGCAUUUUUACAAAAAAGUUUACCAAACACUCUACAGUUUUAUUUCAUAGCCGCUUAUUCUUACAGCACAGCAAAAACAAAUUUUUUUUUUCAAAGCAUAACAAUACCAAACCAGUAGUAUCAAAUGUGUACUGCUAUUUUUUAGAGAAAGUACAAUCUGUUAGUUUGGUAGGUGAGAGCAAUUUUA
rnacentral:lncRNA from 1 species